rnacentral:tRNA from 1 species
GCCUGGGUGGCUCAGUGGGUUGAGCGUCCGACUUCAGCUCAGGUCACGAUCUCGCAGUCCGUGAGUUUGAGCCCCACAUCGGGCU